UUGUCAGUAACGGUGUUCAGCCUUACAUUGUUCAAACCGGAGUCGGACACUGAUGGAGAGACUCAGGAAGAAGUUACAACUUUUAGAAUGAAACUGGACGUUUCUGAAUGGUUAGUGGAUAAAUUUAUGUAGUUGCUGUGGAGUUGAUUCAGCUCAUCGACUAGCAUGUGCCGUCAUGUUUAUCUUUUGUGCAAAACCCGUAUGAACGCCCACUAUACAUAGUGUACCUGUUUGUCAAACAGAGCCAUACACACCAGACUAACAUUUAUGAUUACUAUCAAAUGCUGUGAAUGGUCUAAUAUUUUUUUUUCCAAAGUACAUGGCGUUAGAACUGGAACACCUUUGUCGCUUGCGAAAACAAAAUGGCGGCGCCAUGGGUGGAAACGUGCAGAUUAAGGGGCAGUAAUAUUAUAAGAUCCUCUUUCUCACACGAGGGGAGCGAAAUCUGAACGGCUCGUUUUUUCACAUGCUUGCAGACGAAGGCUUACCAAAACAAAGUCAAUGGGUUGUCCUUUUUCACGUUUUUCUGGAUUUUGUAGAUGCACCGGGGACACGAUUAUAGCACUUAAACACGGGAAAAAGUCAGAUUUUCAUGAUAUGUCCUCUUUAAAACCUCUAGAAACUAUUUUCUCACAUAAAAUUAACCUACUGUACAUGAAAAGUAGCCUGUCUCACUUAAGAGAUCAUGAACUUCUUGUCCGUAUCCAGCAAUUAACGUUUUUCACAAUUCAUCCAUAAUAUAUAUAAAAAAUCUGCACAUUUCUUUAAAAAAACAAAUUUAUUUGAUUUUUUUUUCACAGCAGCAUUAAAUUGUUUCCAGUUCUUUUCGAUCAUCACAUAUGGGCUUUAUAAAGAUGAAUAAAUUCUUAAUAUUCA